rnacentral:rRNA from 1 species
GUUAAAAAGCUCGUAGUUGGAGUUCUGCCUGGUGACGCCCGUCCGCCCAAGUGGUGUGUACAGGGUGUACAUCUGGCCCUUUCAAGGGGAACGUAUCUGCACUUAACUGUGCGGUGCGAGAUCCUUGACUUUUACUUUGAGGAAAUCAGAGUGUUCCAAGCAGGCUCUCGUCGUGCAUAGCUCAGCAUGGAAUAAUAGCAUUGGACCUCGUCUCUCAGCUGUUGGUUGCAAGAAGCGAGGUAGUGAUGAAGAGGGAUAGUUGGGGGCACUCGUAUUUAACUGUCAGAGAUGAAAUUCUUGGAUUUGUUAAAGACGGACUACUGCGAAAGCAUUUGCCAUGGAUGUUUUCAUUGAUCAAGAACGAAAGUUAGGGGAUCGAAGACGAUCAGAUACCGUCCUAGUCUUAACUAUAAACCAUGCCGGCUAGAGAUCGGGAGUUGUUCGAUUUGUGACACUCUCAGCAUCUUGAGAGAAAUCAAAGCCUUUGGGUUCCGGGGGGAGUAUGGUCGCAAGGCUGAAACUUAAAGGAAUUGACGGAAGGGCACCACCAGGAGUGGAGCCUGCGGCUUAAUUUGACUCAACACGGGGAAACUUACCGGGUCCGGACUUAGUAAGGAUGUACAGAUUGAUAGCUCUUUACAGAUUCUAAGGGUGGUGGUGCAUGGCCGUUCUUAGUUGGUGGAGUGAUUUGUCUGGUUAAUUCCGUU